UGCAAUUAUUUGCCUAAAUAUUUUUUGCCCU
rnacentral:piRNA from 1 species